ACCCGCUGAACUUAAGCAUAUCAAUAAGCGGAGGAAAAGAAACCAACAGGGAUUGCCUCAGUAACGGCGAGUGAAGCGGCAAGAGCUCAAAUUUAAAAGCCGACGUAGCUUUAAGAGACGUCCGCAUUGUAAUUUGAAGAGGCAUUCUCGGGUCGGGGCUCAGGCCUAAGUUCCUUGGAAGAGGGCGUCGUGGAGGGUGAGAACCCCGUUCGCGGCCUGCUGUCGACCUUUCCCCGAUCCACACGAGGUGCCAUCGAAGAGUCGAGUUGUUUGGGAAUGCAGCUCAAAGCGGGUGGUAAAUUCCAUCUAAAGCUAAAUAUUGACGGGAGACCGAUAGCGAACAAGUAGAGUGAUCGAAAGAUGAAAAGCACUUUGGAAGGAGAGUUAAACAGCACGUGAAAUUGUUGAAAGGGAAGCGCUUGAGACCAGUCACGGACCGAGGCGAUCAGUGGGACGUCCCUCUCGGGGGAGGAACCGCGCACUCGCUUUUCGGGUUUUCCGGGUCAACAUCGGUUGGGACGGUGUCAGAAAGGUCGCGGGAACGUGGCUCCCUUCACGGGGAGUGUUAUAGCCCGUGGCGUCAAAGUCGCCAGUUUCGACCGAGGACCGCGCUCGUCUUUUUCGAGCAAGGAUGUUGACGUAAUGGUCCC
rnacentral:rRNA from 1 species